AGGGGGCCCGAAGCCAGGAGGAAGCUGUACUCCUGGUGGAAGGACUAGAGGUUAGAGGAGACCCCCCCAACACA
rfam:Dengue virus type 4 D4.1_1987 polyprotein precursor, gene, partial cds; and 3' nontranslated region, partial sequence.